rnacentral:rRNA from 1 species
AUUGAACGCUGGCGGCAGGCCUAACACAUGCAAGUCGAGCGGAGCGGGGGACGGGGGAGUAAUGCCUAGGAAUCUGCCUGGUAGUGGGGGAUAACGUUAGGAAACGGGCGCUAAUACCGAAUACUAUUAGAUGAACCUAGGUCGGAUUAGCUAGUUGGUGGGGUAAAGGCCUACAAGGGCGACGAUCCGUAACUGGUCUGAGAGGAUGAUCAGUCAAACUGGAACUGAGACACGGUCCAGACUCCUACGGGAGGCAGCAGUGGGGAAUAUUGGACAAUGGGCGAAAGCCUGAUCCAGCCAUGCCGCGUGUGUGAAGAAGGUCUUCGGAUUGUAAAGCACUUUAAGUUGGGAGGCGUUACCAGCAGAAUAAGCACCGGCUAACUUCGUGCCAGCAGCCGCGGUAAUAC